UGAAACCCUAUAUCUUCAUACACACGCACAGAAACACCACACAGACAGGUUAUAUAGUUUGCUGUCAUUUUCAAACCGCCUGCUUUUCUACUCUUAUAAGUAGCGUCUCCCUUCAUCAUUCAUUCUUCACCUUCUCUAUCACUCUUUCUCUCUCUUCUGCAAGAACACCAUGUUGCUAUACCUGCAGCAAAAGCCCUGCUUCAUCUUCUUUCUCUUAAGUUUCAUAAUCUGGUCAUGGGGGACACUGGACGGCGUCGUUUCGGACCCACAGACCAACUUUGUGAAACUAGGGUGCAGCCAAUACAACGUGACAGACUUGUCCAUCUUCAGUGAUAACUUAAACUUAACACUGCGAGACCUGAGAGCGCAGAUCAGCAACCAAAGUAAACACUUCGCGACGGCGCAGGCGGUUGAAGGGUAACAAUCCAGCGUACGGCCUUUUUCAGUGCAGAAACUACCUCUCCAUCUCCGACUGUCUCAAGUGCUUCGAUUUCGCCGCCGUUCACAUACGCAACUGCUCUGUCGGCGUUACCGGUGCUCGUAUCAUCUACGAAGGUUGCUUCCUCAGGUAUGAGAGCAGUGGAUUCUUCGAUCAGAACACAGACGCUGGAAACAACAUAAUCUGGGAAUGGGACGAUCACAAACGCCACUGAACUUGCUUCAACUGUGCAACAAGUGUUAACGGAUCUGGACAUAGCAACACCAAGAAUCACUGGUUACUAUGCAGCCACUGAAACGUCUGUUCCUAACAGUAAUGGUUCAAGCAUUUAUGCCAUUGCUCAAUGUAUUGAGACUCUUACACAAAUUGGCUGCCAGGAUUGCCUCAACAUUGCCUUAAGAAAUUUUGAUCUGUCUUCCCAACUCUAAUGCUAAAACCUAUGAUGCUGGUUGUUUCAUGAGAUACUCCACUAGAGCCUUCUUUGCUGACAAUCAAACCAUUAAUAUUAGGCCCUUCUUGAAGCAAGGAGGUUCAAGCAAGAGGAAGGCCAUUAUUGGGGGAGUGGUUGGAGGAGGAUCGUUUAUUUUGAUUCUUGCAUUAUUUGCUUUGCACAGACGAUCAACGUCAUCCAAGAAGAUUCAUAGAGGUGAUAUCUUAGGAGCAACUGAGUUGAAGGGCCCAAUUAAUUAUAGGUAUAAUGAUCUUAAGAAGGCCACAAAAAAUUCAGCAAAGAAAAUAAACUAGGAGAAGGAGGCUUUGGUGAUGUAU